AUCUGAGGGCGACGUCUGAGGAGGAGAUAUUUGCUCACCUGGGUCUGGAGUACAUUCCUCCGACUGAGAGAAACGCCUGACCCGACCAGUGUCCCAUUGCCCUAGUUUGAAGCUGCCUCAUAAACUGGUAACGGAGCUCUGAUAUGUUGGAUAAAAAAGCAGAUCUGUGCUGCGAUGUUGCUGCUGCGUCUAUGACAUCAGUGCCUCUGAGACGGUGUUUGUCUCCACCUGCUGAACUCUUCUGUCUUUUACUUAAUAAAAUAAAAUGUAAAAAUAAAAUGUGCAUGAAGUCUCAAA